ensembl:lncRNA
CCCCGCUCGGCCCCCGCCCGCCCGGAGGGAGGCUCGGCCCCUUCCAGUCCCGGCCUGUGGGCAGCUCCGAGCCCCAGCCCCAGGGAUCUUCUGUGUGUCAGGCUUGUUGUAGGCCCUGGGAUCUGGCAGUGAGCAAACAGAUGUGGACCCAGUGGAGCUCCCGGGCAUGCCGUCAGUGGAACACAGGAAAUGUGUACAGAGAGAACCAGGGUUGAGAGAAGACUGGAGCACAAAGAGGAGGACCGAGGAGCGUCCACUGAAGAGCCGCAGCCCCGGGCGAGUCUCAUGUCCACGUUUCCCACAGCUGGGGUGGAGCUGGCCUUCUACACCUCAGGGGCAUUUGUCUUGUUCUUCGCGUAUUUCGAAGCCUUCUUAUUAAGUGCAUCCACCCUUAGGACUGUUCUGUCUUCCUGAUGAGUUGACCCUUUGUCAUUCUGAAGUGACCCUCUGUCCCCUGGCAGCAGUUCUGUGAAGUCUCCUUAGCUGGGUGUAGGGAGAGGCCAGAAGCACCCACUGCCGCUGGUUUAUUUACAGCCCACGCAGCUGGUUCACAUCUGGUUCCCCAAACUCAGCAGCUCCUCCUUGGUUUCUUGUUAGUGUCCUUCUGUGUCCUCUGCACCACAGAUUCCCUACCCACCUGGCGCCCCUCCUUUCUCCAUGCUUCCCCCUCCCCGCUCACCAUCUGAUGAUUGGUCUGGAGCCUUCAUCUCUCUCAAUCUCUCUUUUUUGGAAGGCUGUGAUCAAUGGUCAUUAAUAAUGCAAAAGUUCUUUCUGUCUUGGUGUGAGUCCCAGGCAAAUAGAUGGGGAGUUAUCCGCAGCCACACCUCGGCCUUCUCCCCUCUGCUCAGGCCCUGGGCUCUUGUCCGAAAUAGGAAAUCGGGAAAUUGAGCAAUGCCAAAUGGAGGCAUCUCCCAAACUGGGUGCUGCCGCUGAUACCCCAAGUUGAACAGUCAUAGAGGAGGAAGGGGUCCCGUCCACACAGCCAAAGCAUCUGCAGCUGCCACCAGGGGCCCAGCCUGAGAUCCUGCUGUUGGGGAAUUCACCCGGCAGAGUGAAUAUAGACAUACCCCGGGUGUGUGUCCUCCCUGAAAAGACCCCACAGCCCAGCAGCUGCCCUGACCAGGGUGAGGAACAGAGGGGGAGGAGAGAGCGCAGUCCUGGGGCAGCAUCUCAGCACGCUUUGGUGAAGCUUACCUCGUUCAACAACAAAAGCAGCUGGAGACGCAAAUGCCCUUGGAGGGCUGGUCCGAGGAAGAGGCUAGGUCUGCUGGAGCGCGCUCACCUCAGCCUCCAGCCCUCCCCCUGCCCGGCGGAUGUGUGAGCGCAGUCCCCACUCUCAGGAAGCUCACAAUCCAGGAGAGAAAACCCACACGCGGUUAAGUACAGCACCGGGUGGGGGCAGGGGGACCAAGGGGCUGAAAGGAGAGCACGCCCCAGCUGGGGGCUGGGCGAGGGCAGCUCCUGCUGAACCUUGAAGGUGAGUAGGAGGCACUCCAGCACGGCGGGACUGGAAGGCGAGAGGUUCCGGCGGAAGGAACAGUAUGUGCAAAACACGGAGGCUAAAGGGAGAAUUUGGUUGGGGGAACCACAAGUCUGUAGAUAUUGCUAGAGCCGGGGGAAGCGGUCAAGAUGAGGCUGGAGGAGCAGGCAGGGGCCAGCUCAUGAAGAGCCUUGAAUGACAGGUGAAGGAGCCUGGGCUUUCUCCCGAGAGCCACGGGGGAGGCAGGGAAGGGCUUUGAGGGAGGCAGCGGCAUGACUGGAGAGGGCGGUUGCUGUCCCUGGUCCCCUAGACUCUGAGCCCCACGUGGGCAUCAUCUGCAGUUCCAUCACCAUCCCCAUCGCAGCUGACACGACGAAAAAGCCUGGAGCAAUUCCCUGGUCAGCUUCCUGCCCCGUCCACACCAUCCUCUGCUUCACUGAGCAGGCUCCCCAAAACGCGGGGACCCCCUGCCCGGACAUCGCCAGGCCCUCCCCUCUCCCUUCUGAGGAGCUCCCCACUGCCUUGUCCUGUCAUUCCAGGCGCUUCCCAGUCUGUUCCCAUUCUCUAGGUCCUGCCUUCUCAAACCCGGCUCGCACUUUUCCUUCCAUCUGGAAAGCUCUGAUCCCUGUUUCCAUUGGUCAGAAUCCCCCUCCUUUCCAGAAUCUUUCAUACCUCCUUGGUGUGGCACAACUCAUCCCUCAGGCCCAGCUCCCACUCUCCUUCUCUGUGGGUCCCUCCCCUUCCUCCAGAGCGGAAGUCAUGGCUCCCUGCUUGGAGGUCCGAUGCAGAGUGUGGGUUAAAAAUGAUGGUGACCAAUAAAAACUAGACUAUUGGUGGUGAACAUGAUGCAGUCUAUACAGAAACUGAUAUAUAAUAAUGUACACCUAAGUUACAUGAUGUUAUAAGCCAAUAUGACCUCAAUAAAAUAAUUUUUUUAAAA